rnacentral:rRNA from 1 species
CCAGACUCCUACGGGAGGCAGCAGUGGGGAAUUUUGGACAAUGGGCGCAAGCCUGAUCCAGCCAUGCCGCGUGUCUGAAGAAGGCCUUCGGGUUGUAAAGGACUUUUGUCAGGGAAGAAAAGGCCGUUGCCAAUAUCGGCGGCCGAUGACGGUACCUGAAGAAUAAGCACCGGCUAACUACGUGCCAGCAGCCGCGGUAAUACGUAGGGUGCGAGCGUUAAUCGGAAUUACUGGGCGUAAAGCGGGCGCAGACGGUUACUUAAGCAGGAUGUGAAAUCCCCGGGCUCAACCCGGGAACUGCGUUCUGAACUGGGUGACUCGAGUGUGUCAGAGGGAGGUGGAAUUCCACGUGUAGCAGUGAAAUGCGUAGAGAUGUGGAGGAAUACCGAUGGCGAAGGCAGCCUCCUGGGAUAACACUGACGUUCAUGUCCGAAAGCGUGGGUAGCAAACAGGAUUAGAUACCCUGGUAGUCCACGCCCUAAACGAUGUCAAUUAGCUGUUGGGCAACUUGAUUGCUUGGUAGCGUAGCUAACGCGUGAAAUUGACCGCCUGGGGAGUACGGUCGCAAGAUUAAAACUCAAAGGAAUUGACGGGGACCCGCACAAGCGGUGGAUGAUGUGGAUUAAUUCGAUGCAACGCGAAGAACCUUACCUGGUUUUGACAUGUGCGGAAUCCUCCGGAGACGGAGGAGUGCCUUCGGGAGCCGUAACACAGGUGCUGCAUGGCUGUCGUCAGCUCGUGUCGUGAGAUGUUGGGUUAAGUCCCGCAACGAGCGCAACCCUUGUCAUUAGUUGCCAUCAUUCGGUUGGGCACUCUAAUGAGACUGCCGGUGACAAGCCGGAGGAAGGUGGGGAUGACGUCAAGUCCUCAUGGCCCUUAUAACCAGGGCUUCACACGUCAUACAAUGGUCGGUACAGAGGGUAGCCAAGCCGCGAGGCGGAGCCAAUCUCACAAAACCGAUCGUAGUCCGGAUUGCACUCUGCAACUCGAGUGCAUGAAGUCGGAAUCGCUAGUAAUCGCAGGUCAGCAUACUGCGGUGAAUACGUUCCCGGGUCUUGUACACACCGCCCGUCACACCAUGGGAGUGGGGGAUACCAGAAGUAGGUAGGGUAACCGCAAGGAGUCCGCUUACCACGGUAUGCUUCAUGACUGGGGUGAAGUCGUAACAAGGUAGCCGUAGGGGAACCUGCGGCUG